UCGCCCAAUCGGAAUGAAGGGAGGGCGGGAUCAGUGAAAACCACGUGAUCAUCCACGAGUGCGGUGCAGAGUCGCUGAGAUAACCGGAACUGCAGAUGCUGGAGAAUCCGAGAUAACACGGUGUGCAGCUGGAUGUACACAGCAGGUCAAGCAGGAAAGCUGACGUUUCGGGCCUAGAUCCUUCGCUGAGACCAAGAUUUGUGCAAUUGAGAUACCAGCGAUCGUUGCCAAAGCCCUGUUCCCUGUGGAGAAGGUGAUGUUUAACUUUCGUGUGCUGCUUCAGUUUGUAUGAUAAAGGUGCUCUCACAAUGCUCCAUUUGAGAAGUUACAGAUCAUUCAUCUAGCGAUACUGAAGAGCUAAUGGUAUUUCCACAAUUUUACUUCUGCACUAUUCUUAGUCUUUCAGAGGGAUCAAAAGGUUGAGUUACAGAUCUAUACAAUGACUGUCCUUCCUCGCUGGCUUCCCCCACCUCUCUCUUUUGGUAGUUUUAUGCAAACACUGACUGGAUCCCUUACCUGGAGGAUAUUUAUGAAUGAAUUUGUUCUAAUGGUGAUCCAGCAUUUUCCCCAAGUAUCGCUCCACACAUGCCCAGAGAAUUUCUCAGUUUCACAAUCUGUGUCCUUCUGGUUUCUUACUCGCUACACUUAACUUUCUGUUUGAAAGUAUAGUCUGCAGUUGGAGAAUUUAAACAGGUCCACAUCCAGGUCUGACGGUCACUUUGUUUAUCACAACCCAAUUAUCUCAGGAUUUUGAACAAUGAAGGAAAAAGCAGCACUCACAUUGGGGAGAAAUGCACAUGGUGUGUGUGUUGAAGAGUCUGUGAAGAUUCAUCUGAAAUGUCCGAACACCAGUGCAGUGACACUGGGAGACAGUGUGGAAAUGUGCAGAUUGCAGGAAGGAAUUUCUUCAUCCAUCCCAGCUAGAAACUGACCACCAGAGUCACACUGGAGAGAGACCAUUGACCUGUUCUGCAUGAGGGAAAGGCUUUGCUGAUUCGAAUUCCCCGCUGAUACACCAGCGAGUUCACUCUGGGGAGAGACCUUUCAUGAGCUCUGAGUGUGGGAAGGGAUUCAUUGUCAUCCAAACUGUUAACACACCAGUGAGUUCACAGACAACCACAGUUGAAGAACUUUGCUGUCACUCUCACUAUCAAAUGAACCAUGGUUUUGGGCUGUUUGUACAGAUGUUACCGAUCCCUGCUCAAUUAAAGGUGCUGGUAUUGUGAAUAAAAUGUCACACUAA